rnacentral:rRNA from 1 species
CCUACGGGAGGCAGCAGUAAGGAAUAUUGGUCAAUGGACGAAAGUCUGAACCAGCCAUGCCGCGUGAAGGAUGAAGGUCCUCUGGAUUGUAAACUUCUUUUAUCUGGGACGAAAAAAGGGCAUUCUUGCUCACUUGACGGUACCAGAGGAAUAAGCACCGGCUAACUCCGUGCCAGCAGCCGCGGUAAUACGGAGGGUGCAAGCGUUAUCCGGAUUCACUGGGUUUAAAGGGUGCGUAGGUGGGUUGGUAAGUCAGUGGUGAAAUCUCCGAGCUUAACUCGGAAACUGCCAUUGAUACUAUCAGUCUUGGAUUUUCUGGAGGUAAGCGGAAUAUGUCAUGUAGCGGUGAAAUGCUUAGAUAUGACAUAGAACACCCAUUGCGAAGGCAGCUUACUACGGGAUAAUUGACACUGAGGCACGAAAGCGUGGGGAUCAAACAGGAUUAGAUACCCUGGUAGUCCACGCCCUAAACGAUGGAUACUCGACAUUUCGUCGAGAUACACUAGUUGGUUGUUGUGACGAACGGAACGACGUAACGUUAACGUUACCUACCCUACCGGUAACGGGUAACGGUAACGUACCGACCGAACGGUAAGUUAAACGUUAAAACGUUAAAGUUAAGUUAAGUUACGGUACGGUACGUAGACGUACGACGACCGGACGGACCGACGACGGGAGGGAGGGAGG